rnacentral:misc_RNA from 1 species
UGGUUCUGGCAUCGAUGAAGAACGCAGCGAAAUGCGAUAAGUAAUGUGAAUUGCAGAAUUCAGUGAAUCAUCGAAUCUUUGAACGCACAUUGCGCCCAUUAGUAUUCUAGUGGGCAUGCCUGUUCGAGCGUCAUUAAGUCCACUUAAGCCUUUUGCUUAGCAUUGGGAGUCUACUUUCUUGUAGUUCCUCAAAGACAGCGGCGGAGUCGUGGUUUUGCUCUGAGCUUAGUAAAUUUUUCUAGCUUUUGAGUGCCCGCUUCCCUUGCCGUAAAACACCUAUUUUUUUAAUGGUUGACCUCGGAUCAGGUAGGAAUACCCGCUGA